rnacentral:rRNA from 1 species
UACGGAGGAUGCGAGCGUUAUCCGGAUUUAUUGGGUUUAAAGGGUGCGUAGGCGGGCAUUUAAGCCGGCGGUCAAAUGUCGGGGCUCAACCCUGUCGAGCCGUCGGAACUGGCAGUCUUGAGUGGGCGAGAAGUAUGCGGAAUGCGUGGUGUAGCGGUGAAAUGCAUAGAUAUCACGCAGAACGCCGAUUGCGAAGGCAGCAUACCGGUGCACAACUGACGCUCAGGCACGAAAGCGUGGGUAUCGAACAGG